ensembl:snRNA U6 U6 spliceosomal RNA
GUGCUCACUUUGACAGCACAUACACUAAAAUUGGAAUGAUACAGAGAAGAUUAGCAUGGUCCCUGCACAAGGAUGACACGCAAAUUCAUGAAGCAUUACAUAUUUUU